rnacentral:rRNA from 1 species
CCUUGGGGGGGCCACCUGGGGGAUAUUUGCCACAUGGGGCCAACCCGAUAUCAACCAACCCCGGGGGUGGAGAGAGGCCUUUGGGUUUAAAAUCCUUUUCAGCGGGGAGAAAGGCAGUAAAGUUAAUCCCUUUGGGCAUGGCCGUUCCCCACAAAAAAACCCCCGGUUAAUUCCGGCCCCCCAACCCGGGUAAUUCGGGGGGGCCAAAGUUUUUUUGGAUUUCUUGGGGUUAAAAGCCAGUACGGGGGUUUGUUAAUUCAGAUGUGAAAUCCCCGGGCUCAACCUGGGAACUCCCUUUGAUACUGGCAUGCUUGAAUUUUGUAGGAGGGGGUAGAAUUCCAGUGGUAGCGAUGAAAUGGGUAGGGAUUGGGGGGGAAACCGGUGGGAAAGGCGGCCCCCUGGCCGACGCUGGCCCUUUGAGUCGGAAAGGUUGGGGAGCAAACCGGUUUAGAUUCCCUGGUAGUCCCCCCCGUAAACGAUGUCAACUUAGAGGUUGUGCCCUUGAGGCUUCAGUACCGCAGCUAACGCGUAAGUUGACCGCCUGGAGAU